rnacentral:rRNA from 1 species
GAUGAACGCUAGCGGCAGGCCUAAUACAUGCAAGACGAAUGGUAAGUUGAGUAGCAAUACUCGACCUAGAGUGUCGUACGGGUGCGUAACACGUAUGCAACCUACCCAUAACAGGAGGAUAGCUCCCCGAAAGGGGAAUUAACCCUCCAUAGUAAUAUUGAAUGGCAUCAUUUGGUAUUUAAAACUCCGGUGGUUAUGGAUGGGCAUGCGUCUGAUUAGUUAGUUGGCGGGGUAACGGCCCACCAAGGCGAUGAUCAGUAGGGGAACUGAGAGGUUGAUCCCCCACACUGGCACUGAGAUACGGGCCAGACUCCUACGGGAGGCAGCAGUAGGGAAUAUUGGUCAAUGGAUGGAAGUCUGAACCAGCCAUGCCGCGUGCAGGAAGAAGGCCUUAUGGGUUGUAAACUGCUUUUGCCAGGGGAUAAAAUAGCUGUGCGCAGCGAAUUGCAGGUACCUGGUGAAUAAGCCACGGCUAACUACGUGCCAGCAGCCGCGGUAAUACGUAGGUGGCAAGCGUUGUCCGGAUUUAUUGGGUUUAAAGGGUGCGUAGGCGGCCCUGUAAGUCAGUGGUGAAAUACUCCAGCUUAACUGGAGGGGUGCCAUUGAUACUGCAGGGCUUGAGUGGAGUAGAAGUAGGCGGAAUUGACGGUGUAGCGGUGAAAUGCUUAGAUAUCGUCAAGAACACCGAUAGUGAAGACAGCUUACUAUGCUUCAACUGACGCUGAGGCACGAAAGUGUGGGGAUCAAACAGGAUUAGAUACCCUGGUAGUCCACACUGUAAACGUUGAUGACUCGCUGUUGGCGAUACACAGCCAGCGGCCAAGCGCAAGCGAUAAGUCAUCCACCUGGGGAGUACGCCGGCAACGGUG